rnacentral:lncRNA from 1 species
UCCUGGUAACACAGUGUUGCUGGCAACUCUCUCCUCCCUCAGAUGUGCACUGCCCCAGAUCACUGAGCUGGAGGUCCAGGAAGGACAAAUGCUUCUUCCUUGUCCUGGAAGCUGCCCUUGAAUGGAGCCAAGCACUGAGGUUCUGCCAGAGGUUCCAUGGCGGGAGUCUGAUCACCCUCAGCAGCCCGCAGGACCUGAUCUGGUUGCAAGAUGAGCUGGAAGUGAGUGCCUGGACUGGGCUACACACCACUGGCAAAGGUCUGUGGCACUGGGCUGACGGGAGUCCCUUCAACAAAGCUUUGCAACGCUUCAUUUUCUCCCAGGGAACCUUUGGGAGGAUGAUCUGCAUGCUUGCUCUGAGUUCUGGCUUGCUGAAGGCUGAGCCGUGCCACAGACCUCACCGGUGGAUAUGCCAGGCCCCACGCCAGAUUGAUUUAUAUACGAAGUUCCCAGGAAAAUCCUUCUAUGGUGACCUGUCUGUGGAGGGGAGCUUCCCUUCCCUGCUGGCCGCUGAGCAGCAAUGCACGGCUUUGGGCCAGGGCUGUGACAUCCUCCUUAGCAGCAAAGGGGACUAUUACCUUGCCGUGGGGACACGCUUUGUCUCCCUGGACGACACAGAGGCCAGCGCAGCAACUGCUAUCCAUGUCAAGACGAGAUGCUCCCCUGGCUAUUCAGGGGAUGACUGUCAAUCUGCAUGCUGCCACUGCACGCCAGGCCUGAGUUGCAAUCCCCUGACAGGCCUCUGCGAUGGCUUCCUGGUGUACCAGGAGGAAACAGACAUGGAGCUGCCAUCCUUUUGGGAAAAACUCCUGAUCUCCUCUCAGGGCCUGAGUCUGCAGCAGAAGCGUGCAUCCCUGCAGGAGGCCCAGGACAUCUGCUACCUGCAGAAGGAAGCCUGCACAGGGAUGCUGCACCUGCAGGGUGCCCACUACAUCGUGUCAGGGACAGUGCUGGUGGAGAGCCCUGGUUCAGGCGCCCUCCUCUAUGUCAAGGCAGCUUGUUCCCCAGGCUUUUGUGGGCUGCACUGCCAGACGCGCUGUCCCCCGUGCUUGAGAACACACACCUACAACCCCCUGACUGGCCAGUGCGAUGGCCUCCUGAGCUGCGUGCGUCACUUCAGCCCUGCCUGUCUUCACGGUUUGGUGCACAAAAGAUGUCCACAGCAUCCUGGCUGGUGGUUCUGGGGUGGCCACUGCUACUACGUGGAGGAGCAGAGCAGAGACACUUGGUGGGGGGCCCAAGCCACCUGCCAGGCACAUGGCAAACACGUGGGCCUCUUGACCCUCAGCAGCCCCGAGGAAAAGGCCUGGGUGGCUGCCAUGGUACAGGAGGACAGCUGGGUGGGACUGAACGAUGGUGACAAAGAUGGCAUCUGGACCUGGGCUGGGGGCCAGGUGGCUGAUCUUUAUUCCCCCUGCACCUUGGAGCUCCUGCCCAGCUGA